rnacentral:rRNA from 1 species
GACGAACGCUGGCGGCGCGCCUAACACAUGCAAGUCGAACGGAGCUGAGAGAAGCUUGCUUUUCUUAGCUUAGUGGCGAACGGGUGAGUAGCGCGUGAGUAACCUGCCCUGGAGUGGGGGACAACAGUUGGAAACGACUGCUAAUACCGCAUAAGCCCACGAUCCGGCAUCGGAUUGAGGGAAAAGGAUUUAUUCGCUUCAGGAUGGACUCGCGUCCAAUUAGCUAGUUGGUGAGGUAACGGCCCACCAAGGCGACGAUUGGUAGCCGGACUGAGAGGUUGAACGGCCACAUUGGGACUGAGACACGGCCCAGACUCCUACGGGAGGCAGCAGUGGGGGAUAUUGCACAAUGGGGGAAACCCUGAUGCAGCGACGCCGCGUGGAGGAAGAAGGUUUUCGGAUUGUAAACUCCUGUCGUUAGGGACGAUAAUGACGGUACCUAACAAGAAAGCACCGGCUAACUACGUG